UACGUAGGGUGCGAGCGUUAAUCGGAAUUACUGGGCGUAAAGCGUGCGCAGGCGGUCUGUUAAGACCGAUGUGAAAUCCCCGGGCUUAACCUGGGAACUGCAUUGGUGACUGGCAGGCUUUGAGUGUGGCAGAGGGAGGUAGAAUUCCACGUGUAGCAGUGAAAUGCGUAGAUAUCAGGAGGAACACCGAUGGCGAAGGCAGGUCUCUGGGCUGACACUGACGCUCAUGCACGAAAGCGUGGGGAGCAAACAGG
rnacentral:rRNA from 1 species